UACGUAGGGGGCAAGCGUUGUCCGGAUUUAUUGGGCGUAAAGAGCGUGUAGGCGGCCAUUCAGGUCAGCUGUGAAAACUCGAGGCUCAACCUCGAGACGUCGGUUGAAACCGUUUGGCUAGAGUCCGGAAGAGGAGAGUGGAAUUCCCGGUGUAGCGGUGAAAUGCGCAGAUAUCGGGAAGAACACCCGUGGCGAAGGCGGCUCUCUGGACCGAUACUGACGCUGAGGCGCGAAAGCGUGGGGAGCAAACAGG
rnacentral:rRNA from 1 species